rnacentral:rRNA from 1 species
GUGCCAGCAGCCGCGGUAAUACGGAGGGUGCGAGCGUUAAUCGGAAUUACUGGGCGUAAAGGGCGCGUAGGCGGUCGCGCAAGUCGGGUGUGAAAGCCCCGGGCUCAACCUGGGAAUUGCAUUCGAUACUGCGUAACUAGAGUCUGGUAGAGGGAAGCGGAAUUCCGCAUGUAGCGGUGAAAUGCGUAGAUAUGCGGAGGGACACCAGUGGCGAAGGCGGCUUCCUGGACCAAGACUGACGCUGAGGCGCGAAAGCGUGGGGAGCAAACAGGAUUAGAUACCCUGGUAGUCCACGCCCUAAACGAUGAGGACUAGACGUUGGGGGGAUAAAACCCUUUAGUGUCGCAGCUAACGCGUGAAGUCCUCCGCCUGGGGAGUACGGCCGCAAGGUUGAAACUCAAAUGAAUUGGCGG